rnacentral:lncRNA from 1 species
UCCUGAAAAUCAUGCAAACCAAGUAUGACAUAUAACAGGAAAGAUUCAAAAGAUUUUUUGUCAGGGAAUGAUGAACAAGGGCAUGCGCUUAAUAGCGAUAAAUCGUGCAAAAUUAGCAGUAAACAUCAUAGCAUCAAGGGAGAAGAGAAGCCAUAAGCCAUCCAGAUACUACUGGGGAACUUACUAUCUUGAGAACCAUCAUUUAUUUCCAGAUAUUUAUUUAUCUCCAUUGCAUUCAAGAGCGGUCCCCUGGAAGAAUCGGCUGUUUUGGCAAAUUUAAAUGAUAAUACAAACGGAAGGGAUAAGUUUGUAAACCCUGGUUCAUAGAGACGAUAUUUUCCGUGAGCGUUUUCUUCAAUAUUAACAACAGGUAUGCUGAGUUCAGUAUUUCCUGGAAGUACUAGCCUAAACUUUCUAGACUCAUCUUCAGCUAAAUCUUCAAUUUCUGCUAAGUAGGUGUAUGCCCAUCCAAAACCAGGAAAACCAUCCAGGUUCAGCCGGUAAGUCAGAGUUCCAUUUGUGCCAACUACAGCUGUCUGCAUAACUUUUUCGGGUGGCCUGUCAUCCCCAUUAAUGUCAAUUGGCAACUUGGUUGACACUUUUUUGGUUCCAGCAGCAAUGUCGACGAGGUAAUUCGCUUUCUUGACAGAGUCUGAUGUCCAUAUUCUAUCGAAAGGGUCAUCAGGAUACCUGAAAUUAGAAUACAUAUCCUUCAAAACCACAAAUCUUUGUCAAAGCAAAAAAGAGUUCAGACUACAAACUUCCUAGCUCAGAUAUUCUAAAUCAGGGAAUAUUACAAAGUUUGAUCUCACAGUAGUUUGUUACAUACAUUUGGACCAAUACCUACUUCAAGAAGUAAGCUGUGAAGCCCUCCUAAGCAGAUAAACGUAGCAUACCUGACUGGUGCUUCAUCAUCUGCACCGAAAUUAAUCCUGGCAGAGACACUGAGAUAGAACUGUUGCUCAAACUCAGAAUAGUACAUGGAACCAUUGAAUUGUCGAAGCUCAAGAGUGGAUAUAAAAGGUUGUCCAGUCGUAGCAUUGGAUAAACAUACACUGACAGUAGGACUCGUCGCCAGAAAUAUAAGCUCCCGCAUCUCUAUCGUAUUGGCAUCCGAAAUUACAAUCGAAGACCAAUGGGUUGCCCCAACAGAAAUGUCAAAUUUGGGAUAAACGUUAUUGCUGUCAAAGUUCCCAUACAAGAAUGUCGCUCUUAGAAGGUACCUAGUCCUACUUGUGACAUUCAAUGUGUAACAAUAUUUUCUCAAAUCCGCCGGAAAAUGCCUCAACGUCGAGUACUGCUUCCUGGUCUUAUUGGAAACAGCUAUAGAGGACGUCUCGCCGAAAUUGAGCCGAUCAGGAGUCCACUCCACACCCAGAUCAUCAGUGAAAAUUUCUUUACCUCCACAAUCCAAACUCACAAACCCUGCUUCAAAUUACACAAGGAAGGAACUUUAUACAAGGAAUUUGGACUAACUGAGUAAAACUAAAACAUGGGUUUAAUAGAAAAAAAAAAUUAGAAACUUGUAAUCAAUGUCUGAAUUCAUUCAAACUUAAGCUAAUUUUUCACUUCUAAAGUAAUUUCCAGACAAUCUAAGAACAAGGUUUUUCUAAUAACUAAGAAAACAAGCUAAAAUUGUACUAAAAAUACUAAAAAUCCAUGCUCUUAUUGGGAUUAAAUCAGUUCAAUAAAGAAAACACUGCAAAAUAAAAAAAAAAAAAAAAAUCAUGCAAGUAAAGUAUAAAGAUUCAAAAGAGAGAGAAGGGUACCUGGAUUUUGAGCAGAGGAAGGGACGAUGAGGAGGAGGAGGAGAGAGAGAAGGAGAAGGAGAAGGGAAACCUCCAUGGUGGUGUGAAAAGUUGGAAGAGAGAUGGAGAGACCAUAAAAAUUGACUCCGAGGAAAAACUGAAAAAUGGUAGUGAGUGUGAGUACGGAGAGAUAAAGUUGCAAACGCACCGAGGGGAUUAAAAUAAUUUGAAAUUAAAGACGGAAAUGUGAAUCCAACGAACAAACCCGAAUAAUGGAAAAUAAAAUAUACUGACAACAACAGAAGUUAAAGAUAAUGGUGGAUGAGAUGAGAGAGACAGAUUUGGAGGAAGAAGAAGUCUCUGACGGGAAAUGAAUGGGGUCCAAGGUUUUUCCACAUGGGGAACGGCGAAUGGUUGGCCACGUGGCGCCCAGCAGAGGAGAAUUAAAGUGCUUGCGACUUGCGACUUGCGACUUGCAACUACCGACUACGGGCUAAAGACGGCCCGACUUGGUAUGGGACGAAAAUGUCAUAAUAAUUUCGUAAUCACAAAAAUUAAUUAUACUUAUAAUCAUAAAUUAAUUAUUGCAGAUUAUUUAUAAUCUUACUCACUGUGUAAUGAAUUCUUCAUCGGUUAGUGGUUAUAUCAAUCUUUGUCAAUACCGAAAAUAUAUUCAUUCAAUUGACACAUUAUAAUAUAAGAUAAGAUACUAAUUUCUUCAUUAUAAUAUAAUAGAUACAUUGAUGAUGUUGCGAUGCAGGCCAAGGACUAAAGGCGUUAUUACAUAAAAUUACUAACACACUAAAGCAGUUAUUACAUAAAAUUACUAAUAGCUGAGAUUUAAGUUUUAUAAUAUAAUACAUGCAUUUUUAGAGUUAUAAUGAUGUAUCUAGCUUUAAAUUUUGUGGCUUAUGGAAUUCCUAGAUUAAUAACAGUUUAUGAAAUCAUUUAGUUUUUUAGGAGCUAUAUUGUAACCCUUUAUUUGUAUGUCUUUUCAUAUUUUUCACUUUAAGUUUUAAGCACCUAUAAAUACUUGUAUUUGUAAAGAAGAAGGGGAGAAGUUGUUUUGAAUUAUCAUAUUGAUAUUAGAGUUGUAAACUCGUUUUUAUGUGCAUUUCUCUUGUUUAAGAGUCUGCAUCUUUGUUCUUUCUAGUGUCUAUAUUUGUAGGCUGGUAUUAGAACAAAAGUUUAUAGGGUUUUCAAGCCUUUCCUCCAUUCUUUUUAUCCUAAUUUUCUGUUCUUAUUUCAUUUUUUUUUUCGUUUCUCUGUUGCGCCCUGCAUCAUGUUGGCUGAUGUUUGAUCUCUCCCAUAAGCACCAUUGAUCUUUCCCACAAAAUGCAUUUUUUUAAUUCUCAAGGUAAUAGAUUCGGUGUGUGUGUGUGUGUGUGUAUAUAUAUAUAAAUACAAUAGUGUAUUUAUUAUAGAUAAAUUAUAUUAUAUAUAAUAUGUAUUAUUUGGGUCGGAUUCGGAAAUAUAUACGGAUCAAGGACUCCUAUAGCCAUAUCUAAAACCAUAACCGAAUAAUAUUUCUGGUUUUUUUUCAUAUCUAUAAUAUAACCGAAUUCUUAUCCCCAAAUUCGUACCAUUCGAACAAUUAUUCACGGUUAUCAGGUUUAACGGUUUGAAUUAUCAUCUCUACUUGCGACUUGCGACAUGCGACUUGCGAUUAUGAUUCUACAGUCAAUUUGAAUUAUCAAGUAAUAUUGAAGGAUCUUAAAAGUAAUGAAAAUAUCAAAAGAGACGGUUCAAAAUGGAAAUAUAAUUAGCAUUUCUCUUUAUAUUUUAGUUAAGCUUGUAAUCACUAGCCGUGACAUAAGGUAUGAAUAUAGUAUGUGAGUAAUUUUAUAAUCAUUUUUUUUCUUUGUACAAAUUAAACAUUGUAAAUUACGAAAAAAAGAGUGUAGAGAGUACAUUUGCUCUAGUCAGAGAAGCUUAAGCCUAAUUAUACUACCAUUUGAAAAUUAUCACCCCGAAAAAGAAAUUCAAUAGUUAAAAUUAAAGUAUCAUUCAAUUAUCAUCGGUUUUCUUUUCAAGCUUUACGUUCAUCUUGUUUCAAUCAUAAAUUUUGAUACCAAGGACCGUCAUUGGUUGAAUAACCACUCGAACGUCCUUGAUCAACUAAUCAAAUGUGGUGAACUGGUUUUACUUUGAUCCAAAUAUUGUUUGACCUUGCAUCUACUUUUGAACUUUGCUAAUAGAUGACAAGAAUAAAUCAAAUCAAAUGCAAGACAAAUGUUUCGGUCCUAUUGCCGUGGAGUAAGAAGACAUGGUCUUGAAUUCUUGAUGUUCAAAAUGGCAUUAAUUUCCACAUUUUAUUUGGUGGUUUCAAGGCUCCCACGAACGCCCAACUCCUUGUGGCUUCGUGUUGCUUGGGACGACGGCUUGACCAGAUGGUUGACUAUGUUUUGAAUGAGAGGGCAUUGAUUUUCGCUGUCAAGACUUGACUUGUUAUAUAAAAAACGAAGAAAGAUUUGUCGUUUUACACCUUUUUUAUUUGCUUAAAUUGAAGGCUCCUAUGAAUCAUGCAUUGUUUAUGCUUAUUAUUUGAUAUGGCAAACAGAUCGUUUUUAUCGUUUUUAUGUCAUGUUUGUUAUUUUGACGAGUCGUGAUUGUGGAGCCUAAAAGAAUUCUAAAAAUUCUAGAGGCGAUAUGUAAAUUCUAGAGACAAUACGUAAAUUUUUAUCUAAAAUUACGAUAGGAGAUGAAAAAAAAAAACAUAUUUGUACGUCGUGUAUGGCAACCGAAUUACUAUCGAGCAGUUGGCCGGGAGAUAGACUCAUCGAUCGACAAGAAAUUGUCAUUUCUGCCAAGAUCCAGGGAACCUGUGUUCAAGGAAGAAUGGAUUGAAUUCUUUGAUACAUCUGAGGAACCUUCUCUUACUGCUGCAGCAUCCCUUUCCACUGAGAUUGCAUCUUGGAUUUCCUUGAGAACUUCUGAAAUGGACGGCCUCAUAAAUCCGUGCGCUAGAACACACAUUAGGGCUUUUUCGGCUAUCUUCCACAUUGACUGGAUGUCGUAUUCGCCAUCCAGCGAGGGGUCGAUUAUUCCUUGAAUGUUGCCAUUCUCGAUGUGUAAUUUUGCCUGUGACAACCAAUUUCACAGGUAAGAAAGGGAGCAACUCACAAUGAUGGUAAUUCUAGGAUUAUGCCAAUGUUUUACUUUCAGUAUUAGUACUGAUCAAAAGUUUACGGCAAGUGAUCAAAAAUUUCGAACACUUCAUUGCAAUGCAAAGCAAACUACACUUACCCAUUGCACUAUAUUACGGCAGUUAACACCAAAGUUUUCAUUAGAAAUCGCUUCUUGACCUGAUAUCAGCUCAAGAAGAAUGACACCGAAACUAUAAACGUCACUCUUGUCUGUCAACUGCUGGGAGAUGUAAUACCUGAACACCAAUGAGAACAAAGAAGUCAUUUUAACACUCAGAAAUAUGGGGUAAAAAAUGAAAUUGUUAAAACAGUGCUUAUAACUAUUGUGCCGUCACUACAAAACCUAUCUCCUAAAGCGUUGACAGCUUAUAACACAAAUUAAUUACUAACUGGAGCACUCUACCAAAGCCAUUCAGCACUUAACAAUCACAUGACAACAAAGCAGUAACAUAUUUAUUAUUUAACUUAUCUCAAUGAUGGCAGAUUUGAUCUCAACGAAAAACAUAAACUUUUACGGAAAAGAAGGCCUUACUCGGGAUCCAGAUACCCUACAGUGCCCCGAACUUUGCUUGACACAUGGGAUGCUCCUUCUACUUCAAGUUUGGAAAGACCAAAAUCUGAAACCUUUGCUCUCAUGUGUUUGUCAAUUAGAAUGUUGCUGCUUUUCAAAUCUCUAUGAAUGAUAGCUGGAACACAGCCGGUGUGAAGGUAUUCGAUUCCUGAAUAACCACGAGAAAGACCAUGUAUAAAUUUAAUAUACUAAGGAAGAAGCACUUUUUGCUCCUGCUUAAAUUGAAAAGAAGUAAUAACUAACAAGAACUUUCUAGUGUGUUAGACCUUUUGCAGCAUCUUCAGCAAUCUCAAGGCGCUUGAUCCAAUUGAUACUCUGUUCGUGUGUUAAUGGGCCUACGAACAAUUCAAAACUCGUUAGCCGUCCAAAUUUCAAUAGAUUCCAUCAACAAGAAGCAAGCUUACCAUAAAGAUGUUCCUUGAGAGUUCCAUUAUGCAUGAACUCGUAGAUCAGCAUACUUCUUCCAUCCUCUUGGCAAUACCCAAGAAACUGUACCAGGUGUCUGUGAUGUAUCCUUGAAAGAAGAGUUACCUAGAUGAUAUCGAAGCAUGUGUCAGUCCACACAUUUCCAAGUUUUGAUGUCCACCAGUAAUAUAUCAACCCAAAGAGACAGGAUAUGACAACAAUUACGAAACCAAAUUUCUUUUAUGAAUGCUCUUCAACACUAGAAGGGAGCAGCGCGGAAAUUUUAAAAAGAUUCAUUUUUUCCAUGGUUAUGGAUAAUGCUCUUCAACACUAGAUGAGAAAUCUGUUACCCAUUGGGUAUGGUUAUCGAUAAUCUCCGAUCAUUAAUUUACGGUUAUGGAUAUGAUUAAUUUUCGUGGUUAUGGGGAUGGAUAUAGCAUUUCCGUCCCCAAACCGAACCGUUGCCAUCCCUAAGUUCAAUAAAUAGAAAGAUACAAACAGGCACACAGUAGCAAAUAGACAGGGUUGAGCAUCCUCAAAGAAAGAAAAAGCAACCUGAAAUGUAAAAAAAUGUAAAAGAUGUCCAACAAUACAAAAACUAACCUCAUUUGAAAAUUCUCGCUUUCCCUGGUAGGAAUUACUCGUUAGAACUUUGACUGCAAUUUCCUUUUCAUCCUUCAUUAUACCGUAGUAAACAACUCCAAAACCUCCCGAACCUAUUUUCUUCUCAAACUUUCUGGUAGCCUCUUCAAUUUCGGAGUAAGAGAAGCAGUGUGCAGAUUCUUUAGGAGCAUCACUCUUAGAAGAAUGUAUUCCUUGCGCAGGUUGAUUCCCAAGUUGGUCUGUAGCGAGUUAGAAUGAUGUCAUUGCAUUCAAGCAAACUGAAAAUUAAGAGAAACAAAAACCAUGUAAACCUCAAUUUUGUUUCAGACUCAUACCAUGCUUGUAUUUCUUCCUCCCCUUGCGUAAAAGUAUGCAAGAUACAAUAGUAGCUAUGACCAAGACAGCAGACCCAACUGAUGUACCAAUAAUAAUGUUAUUGCGGCUCCCGCUUGUUUUCCCUUUCCGCAGAUUAACAUUUCCAGUGUAGCUGUCAGGAGACAACAUAGACGAGCAAAGAUAAAUACAUUGGUGUAAGUCCUAGACAAGGCCCCGAUGAUUAGAAUAGAGAGAGCGAGAGAUUUGAUGAAUCAAGAUAAAGAUGUACUUGGGUAUACUUACAAUAUACAGGAUGAAGGAUAUAAUUUAAGACGUGUACUUACUCCAGGACACACCGAUUUUUACUAUAGACGAAGAAGAUAAAUAUAAGGCAAGGUUUACACUGAUUUUAAGCUCUAGAAAUUACUUAUGAUUUUGUUCUUAUGCUCUUCAGCUAUAUCUGCAAAAAGUGAUACUCACUUCAUAUUAACCACUUUAUCGAGAAGACUUGAUGGCACAGUUCCGGUUAACAUAUUAUUUUGCACAUACCUGCAACAUCAGAUUCGCCAAGAUUAAGAUCUUAUAUAAAAAACAGCAUGUCAGACAUUGAUUAGAAAAAAUGAAAAAUAAAAACAAAAUGAGCAGCACAAAAAAUUUCACGGGGUUACUUAUUUUCCAAGUUCUGAAUCAUAAUAAUCAUCUAUUUUCUUUUUUAUCAAAUAGACACAGAAUGUUUGGAGCAAUGUAUCUUAGACUAUCUUUACAUAUGCAAAUGUACAACUACAAAAUUACCGUUAGACAACACAUCCGAAAACUUAAACGAUUAGGGAAUGACCCAAAAUGUAGUUCCCGCUAACAUCUUAUUUCAUGUGUAGCCUCUUGUCCUUAGAGAUGCAGAUAGCGAGAGGUAUAACUUAUCAGACAUGCUCCUUGCAAUAAAAAAAUAAGAAGAAACUGGGGAACGGAGGUCCUGAACCCAGGUAUCAAGCAACCUGAACUUUAAUACCAUGAUAGACAACUACUAGAGCCAUAAACUUAAGUUAUUAGGAAUGGGACGGCAAUAUAUAACAUAGAUUACAACACUGGCACCCACACAUUGAAGGUCUUUUAAGCAGAAAAAUUACUGAAGUCUGUUAUUGUAUAACUUGUGCCAGAAGCAUGCGGCGGAAGCCACUUUUUAUAUACUAUCCACUAUUUCAGUAAAAUCAUUUAAUUAAAUGAUAAAAAUAUACACAAAGAGGGCCACGUGACUCAUUGCUUGAAAGAACAACUGCCACAGUCUCACAGACAUUUUUUCCUUCAAUUUGAAGUAAACUACAUGCGAGUCCCGGAACACUUACAGUUCCUUCAAACUUGGUAGGUUCGUGAAAGAGGAGAGUCCGCCCGUCAACUGAUUGUUUUCAAGAUGACUGUAUAAUGCAAAGCUAUUUUAUUAGUAUUAGCUCUUUAAAAAGCAUUGUUAGAAUAAAUGAGAUCACUUACAUAAUCUUCAAGUCCACACAUCCAGUGAAAUCAGGUAUUGUACCAGUCAGUGAGUUCCCGUCAAGCCAUCUGUAAUUGGAACACAAAUAUUAACAACGACACUAUAAAGAACAAGUUUUAUAAAACUAAAUUUGAAAACACGCAAUACCAUUCAGAAAUACAAGAAUGCAAAAUGAAACUUACAACUCUUCUAAACUGUUCAACUUUGUCAAGUCUGAAGGGAUAUUCCCAGUAAUAUUCUUACUAGAUAAUUUUCUGCCAAGCAAAGGGAUACAAAAGCAGUUGUCAGCUCCGAACUAUAUACCUAUGCACAAACAGAAGUAAUUCAUACAAUAACUUUAACUAGAAAAAUAUAAGCUAUACAUUUUAACUAUAAAUAUAAGCUCUACAUUUUAACUAUUCUUGGUUGUGGAUCUGAGUUACACUCAACCCAAGACCAUGAUACUGGGAGGCAUGGAUCACCGCCUUCCAAAGUCCAAUCUGCCGAUGAGUAGUGUGAAACAAAACUAGAAAUAACAGCUCCUGAAAAUCAUACAAACCAAGUAUCACAUAUAACAGGAAAGAUUCAAAAGAUUUUUUUUCAGGGAAUGAUGAACAAGGGCAUGCGCUUAAUAGCGGUAAAUCGUGCAAAAUUAGCAGUAAACAUCAUAGCAUCAAGGGAGAAGAGAAGCCAUAAGCCAUCCAGAUACUACUGGGGAACUUACCAUCUUGAGAACCAUCAUUUAUUUCCAGAUAUUUAUUUAUCUCCAUUGCAUUCAAGAGCGGUCCCCUGGAAGAAUCGGCUGUUUUGGCAAAUUUAAAUGAUAAUACAAAUGGAAAGGAUAAGUUUGUUAACCCUGGUUCAUAGAGACGAUAUUUUCCCUGAGCGUUUUCUUCAAUAUUAACAACAGCUUUGCUGAGUUCAGUAUUUCCUGGAAGUACUAGCCUAAACUUUCUAGACUCAUCUUCAGCUAAAUCUUCAAUUUCUGCUAAGUAGGUGCAUGCCCAUCCAAAACCAGGAAAACCAUCCAGGUUCAACCGGUAAGUCAGUGUUCCAUUUGUGCCAACUACAGCUGUCUGCAUAACUUUUUCGGGUGGCCUGUCAUCCCUAUUAAUGUCAAUUGGCAACUUGGUUGACACUUUUUUGGUUCCAGCAGCAAUGUCGACGAGGUAAUUCGCUU